rnacentral:lncRNA from 1 species
CCGAUAAUCUGCUUCUGCUCUGUUUCGCGUCGGGCUUCCAAUAUACUUUUGCACCGACAACCACUGCCUCCCCUUUCGAAAGGCUGGCCUUGGAGCAUCCGAGGUUGUCGUGAAGGACAAAGAACAUCUGUGGGCACCGGGAAGCCCACAGGGAGAAAAUGGAGGGUGAUUUUAAAACACGCCUUGGAUGUCAGCAGGGUUAGGGAGCGAGCACAGCCGUUUGCAUCUUAGGCUGUAACCAUGCUGUGACUCGGGAGCUAAAUCCGGUCGACCCACACUCAAGAGAAAUACUUGACCGCUAGUAAGCGAAGAGAUAGCCCAACGUUCUGUACGCUCCUGAUUUCUACGUGUUCCACCUGUCUGGUCAGCAUAUCAGAAUCUUCUCUCGACUCAGAGAACCAAGUGUGCAUUACAAGGCGAUGUACAACCUCUCCUGGAUUUCAGACCCUCGAUGUCAGUUGUCGUUGUUGUGAUCUCAUUUGGAUCCUUGCUGCGCACACGAGGUGCCUACACAACACGCUACCAUAUUAUUAUGCAGCCCAGACCUUGUGGGUUUGCAGAAUAGCAAA